UACGAAGGGGGCUAGCGUUGUUCGGAAUUACUGGGCGUAAAGCGCACGCAGGCGGCUCGAUAAAUUAGAAGUGAAAGCCCCGGGCUUAACCUGGGAAUUGCUUUUAAGACUGUCGGGCUAGAAUCCAGAAGAGGGUAGUGGAAUUCCGAGUGUAGAGGUGAAAUUCGUAGAUAUUCGGAAGAACACCCGUGGCUAAGGCGGCUCUCUAGUACGGUACUGACGCUGAGACGCGAAAGCGUGGGGAGCGAACAGG
rnacentral:rRNA from 1 species